AUGACUCUGCCCUAGUUAAAGCACGUUUAUUAUGUGUUUAGGGAUUUAACAAAUGAAGUUCAUUUGAAUUGGCCAUUCUCAGUACAAAUAGGGGCUAUGGCCGCUAUGCUAUAUAAUACUCAAGUUUAAGACCACGUUAGUGCGUUUCGAAGCAUGAACAGCAUUCGUGAACAUCCCUUUGUAGCCGUCUCAUCUAUAAAGCGUAGACUUUUCUCUGUGAGAAACAAAGGUGAUGCGUUUUCUGACCUGAUUAGUUUCACACUGUGCAGACUGCAAAAUUCUUUCUUAUGUGAAUGCAAUGGUCGGGUGUUGAAAUCCACAACGGACUAAACUUUAUGUGGAGUUCAUGAAUGAGGAUUGUUGAAAAGCCUUACGUACUGUCAGCAAGAUGGUGAGUUUCCUCGCCAUGUUAAGGUAUUGCUGUAUCUGGUGAUAUUCUCAUAAUCCAGAAAUGGUGAGUAAAGAAUGAAAUGAUGGCAGUGUUUGCCUUGAUGCCCAGAAUCCUACAGGAUAAGAAGCAUUUGGGGUAUAAGGUAGGGUUUUUCCAGAAGUUCCAAAUAAUGUUGGAGCUAUGAUGUUUAAUUAUACGCUAUACAGAAAACAUUUCCUGUUGAAAUUUUACCCACUGAACUCAUAAACUGGUUCCUUGUUUGUAGGUUUUCUCUGCCUUGUUUACAUACUGUACUUCUGAAAUUUAGAUGGCGUCUGCUCUAACCUGCGUCUUUCGAUAAUGUGCAGAGUGUGCAAAACGAGCGGAAGUUGGUUAAGGGCAUGGUUGGACUCAAAAAAUAAAAUUACAAUGCUAGUGCCACAUAGAUUGGGUUUCCUCUAUUUCCACAGAGGAAGGGGUGGGCCGUGUGUUUGGUCGGUAGGAUGGAAACCCUAUUUCGGAACAGAUAUCCUGCUGUACCUGACAUCUACCACUCUCCUGGAGACGUCCAGUGUUUUAUCCGGGGAAAACAUCUUAAGAAAUUUCGUUAUCCAAAUUUGUAGGAAUUUCUAUUACAUGCAAGUUAACAGGAGUGUUCCGUGGGAAUAAAAUUAUGGAAAGGAAUUUAGCAAAUAGAUUUUUAUUUUUUUUUAUUACUUAGCAAAUAGAAUUUCUAUCCUCAUAAUUUUGAUGGGUAAAAACAACAUAUUCCGUUCUUACUGCUCCUGUUCCAUUUAAACUAUCUAAGUUUUCAUUACCCAAUCCGCUAGUUAAUGCAAAUAUAAAUGUACUUAAAUUUCUUUAAACUUAUAAAGAACAUAGAUCACAUUUCCUUUUUUUUUCUUUUGUUGGUAGUGUUACUAGAUCUGAACAGAAUUAAUGAGUCGUACGGCCAUUAGGAGAUUCAUAUGAUUUUCUUUAAAUUUCAUAGUUAAUAUGUGUGGCCUAGAUAUUUUAAGUGUGAAAAUAAAACUUAGUAUUAUGGCAGCUGAUUAAACAUCGGCCCGACUCAAUCAGUUUUUUUUUGCCAAUCACGCAGUGCUGAUAGGAGCUAGUGGUGAGCUUGAGCUGAAGUAGAAAAACAGUGAGCAUUGAGCUGGAGCGAAGACCUCAAAUGAUCUCUGCGUACGUACAGAACGUAUGCGUUUUUCUUGUAAACAUCUGUAAAGCUGCCGCCUUCAUUUAUUUUUGUGUGUGUGAUUAUUUACGUUUAUUGUUUAUAUUACGUUUUUAUUUACUUAUGCAAUACAUUACUUUUUACCUUUA